UCCUAGGAUAGCUCAGUUGGUAGAGCAUGAGACUCUUAAUCUCAGGGUCCGGGGUUUGAACCCCAUGUUGGGCA
rnacentral:tRNA from 1 species